GGGGUUGUGGCUCAGUGGUAGAGUGUUCACCUGGCACGUGCGAGGCCCUGAGUUCAGUCCUCAGCACCACA
rnacentral:tRNA from 1 species